CUCCUAAUGCAGCCGAAGGCGGUCACAAGCCCGAUUGAGAGAUGCAGAGUGGGAA
rnacentral:ribozyme from 2 species